UACGAAGGGGGCUAGCGUUGCUCGGAAUGACUGGGCGUAAAGGGCGCGUAGGCGGUUCAUACAGUCAGAUGUGAAAUUCCCGGGCUUAACUUGGGGGCUGCAUUUGAUACGUGUGGGCUUGAGUGAGGAAGAGGGUUGUGGAAUUCCCAGUGUAGAGGUGAAAUUCGUAGAUAUUGGGAAGAACACCGGUGGCGAAGGCGGCAACCUGGUCCUUGACUGACGCUGAGGCGCGAAAGCGUGGGGGAGCAAACAGG
rnacentral:rRNA from 1 species